rnacentral:ncRNA from 1 species
AUAUAAAAAUUUUAUGAUUUAAAAAAUUUAUUUAAAAAUUUAUUUUACAUAUAAAUUUUAGUGUUAAUUAUUCUUUAUUUAAAUAAUUGGGAAAUAUCUUAUAUAGUAAUUAAUAUUAAAAAUUUAAGAAAUUAAGAUUUAGUAAUAUUAAAAUUAGUGACAAAUUUUGUGCCAGCAGUUGCGGUUAUACAAAAGUUAAAUUAAAUUUUAUUAGUAAUUAAUUAAUAAAUUUAUAUUAUAAGUAAAAUUUUAAAUUAUUGGGUGAAAUUUUAAUUUAAUUAAAACUUAUUAAGAUUUUAUGAUUUAAUAAUUUUUUAUAAUAAACUAGGAUUAGAUACCCUAUUAUUAAUUUUUAAAUAAAGAAUACUAAAAUAGUAAAUGAUUGGAAAAUUGAAACUUAAAUAAUUUGGCGGUAUUUUAGUUUAUUUAGAGGAAUCUGUUUAAUAAUUGAUAGUCCACGAAUAAAUUUACUUAAUUUAUAAUUUUGUAUAUCGUUGUUGUAAAAAUAUUUUUUAAUAAGAAUAAUAUUUUAAAAUUUUUAUUUAAAAUUAAAUCAAAUCAAGAUGCAGAUUAUAAUUAAGAAUAUAAUGGAUUACAAUUAAUUUAAUUAAAAUGAAUGUUAAUUUUUUAAUAAUUAGAUUGAAGGUGGAUUUAAAUGUAAUUUUAUUUAGUUUAAUAAAAUGAUUUAAUAUUAAAAUAUGUACAUAUUGCCCGUCGCUUUCAUAUAUUUAAAUUGGGAUAAGUCGUAACAAAGUAGAGGUACUGGAAAGUGUCUCUAGAAAGUU